UACGGAGGGAGCUAGCGUUGUUCGGAAUUACUGGGCGUAAAGCGCGCGUAGGCGGCUUUUUAAGUCAGAGGUGAAAGCCCGGGGCUCAACCCCGGAAUUGCCUUUGAAACUGGGUGUCUUGAGUAUGAGAGAGGUGUGUGGAACUCCGAGUGUAGAGGUGAAAUUCGUAGAUAUUCGGAAGAACACCAGUGGCGAAGGCGGCUCACUGGCCCGUUACCGACGCUCAGGCGCGACAGCGUGGGGAGCAAACAGG
rnacentral:rRNA from 1 species